rnacentral:rRNA from 1 species
GGCUUAACACAUGCAAGUCGAGGGGCAUCAUAGUCAAAGCUUGCUUUGAUUGAUGGCGACCGGCGCACGGGUGAGUAACGCGUAUCCAACCUUCCCCUUAGUAGGGCAUAGCCCGGCGAAAGUCGGAUUAAUACCCUAUGUUGUGUCAUGAGGACAUCUGAAUAACACUAAAGAUUUAUCGCUAAGGGAUGGGGAUGCGUCCGAUUAGCUUGCCGGCGGGGUAACGGCCCACCGGGGCGACGAUCGGUAGGGGUUCUGAGAGGAAGGUCCCCCACACUGGUACUGAGACACGGACCAGACUCCUACGGGAGGCAGCAGUGAGGAAUAUUGGUCAAUGGGCGAGAGCCUGAACCAGCCAAGUAGCGUGCAGGAUGACGGCCCUAUGGGUUGUAAACUGCUUUUAUGCGGGGAUAAAGUGACGUACGUGUACGUUUUUGUAGGUACCGCAUGAAUAAGGACCGGCUAAUUCCGUGCCAGCAGCCGCGGUAAUACGGAAGGUCCGGGCGUUAUCCGGAUUUAUUGGGUUUAAAGGGAGCGCAGGCGGAGGCUUAAGCGUGACGUGAAAUGCCGCGGCUCAACCGUGGAAGUGCGUCGCGAACUGGGUUUCUUGAGUGAGUGCGACGUGUACGGAAUUCGUGGUGUAGCGGUGAAAUGCUUAGAUAUCACGAAGAACCCCGAUUGCGAAGGCAGUGCACGAGCCCUUUACUGACGCUAAAGCUCGAAGGUGCGGGUAUCGAACAGGAUUAGAUACCCUGGUAGUCCGCACGGUAAACGAUGGAUGCCCGCUGUUGGCGAUAUACAGUCAGUGGCCAAGCGAAAGCGUUAAGCAUCCCACCUGGGGAGUACGCCGGCAACGGUGAAACUCAAAGGAAUUGACGGGGGCCCCGCACAGCCGGAGGAACAUGUGGUUUAAUUCGAUGAUACGCGAGGACCCUUACCCGGGCUUGAACUGCAACAGACGGAUCAGAGAUG